GACGAACGCUGGCGGCGUGCUUAACACAUGCAAGUGGAGCGACGAACCAGGCUUCGGCCUGGGGCAAAGCCGCGAACGGGUGAGUAACACGUGGGUAACGUGCCUCGAUGACCGGGACAACCCGAGGAAACUCGGGCUAAUACCGGAUGUGCUCCCACCACAUCAGUGGUGUGAGUAAAGGUAGCUUCGGCCUCCGCAUCGAGAUCGGCCCGCGGCGCAUUAGCUUGUUGGUGGGGAACGGCUUACCAAGGCAACGAUGCGUAGCUGGUCUGAGAGGACGAUCAGCCACACUGGGACUGAGACACGGCCCAGACUCCUACGGGAGGCAGCAGUGGGGAAUCUUGCGCAAUGCGCGAAAGCGUGACGCAGCAACGCCGCGUGGGGGAAGAAGGCCUGG
rnacentral:rRNA from 1 species